rnacentral:rRNA from 1 species
GACGAACGCUGGCGGCGUGCCUAAUACAUGCAAGUCGAGCGGAAGUUGAAGAGCUUGCUCUUCAACUUUAGCGGCGGACGGGUGAGUAACACGUGGGCAACCUGCCCUGCAGAUCGGGAUAACUCCGGGAAACCGGUGCUAAUACCGAAUAGUUUUCGCCACCUCCUGGUGGCGUACGGAAAGACGGUUUCGGCUGUCACUGCAGGCAGGGCCCGCGGCGCAUUAGCUAGUUGGUGGGGUAACGGCCCACCAAGGCGACGAUGCGUAGCCGACCUGAGAGGGUGAUCGGCCACACUGGGACUGAGACACGGCCCAGACUCCUACGGGAGGCAGCAGUAGGGAAUCUUCCGCAAUGGACGAAAGUCUGACGGAGCAACGCCGCGUGAGUGACGAAGGUUUUCGGAUCGUAAAACUCUGUUGUGAGGGAAGAACAAGUACCAACUAACUACUGGUACCUUGACGGUACCUCACCAGAAAGCCACGGCUAACUACGUGCCAGCAGCCGCAGUAA